GUUGAACGCUGGCGGAAUGCUUUACACAUGCAAGUCGAACGGCAGCACGGACUUCGGUCUGGUGGCGAGUGGCGAACGGGUGAGUAACAUAUCGGAACGUAUCCAAUAAUGGGGGAUAACGAGUCGAAAGAUUCGCUAAUACCGCAUACGCCCUACGGGGGAAAGCUGGGGACCUUCGGGCCUGGCGUUACUGGAGCGGCCGAUAUCUGAUUAGCUAGUUGGUGAGGUAAAGGCUCACCAAGGCGACGAUCAGUAGCUGGUCUGAGAGGACGACCAGCCACACUGGAACUGAGACACGGUCCAGACUCCUACGGGAGGCAGCAGUGGGGAAUUUUGGACAAUGGGCGCAAGCCUGAUCCAGCCAUUCCGCGUGAGUGAAGAAGGCCUUCGGGUUGUAAAGCUCUUUCGCAAGGGAAGAAAACUUAGCCACUAACAUUGGUUGAGGUUGACGGUACCCUGAUAAGAAGCACCGGCUAACUACGUGCCAGCCGCCGCGGUAA
rnacentral:rRNA from 1 species